rnacentral:misc_RNA from 1 species
UCCGGUUUAACACCGGCAGUCUCCUUAGAGUGCCCAACUGAAUGGUAGCAACUAAGGAUAAGGGUUGCGCUCGUUAAGGGACUUAACCCGACAUCUCACGAUACGAGCUGACGACAGCCAUGCAGCACCUAUCACCUGGCCCCCGAAGGGGAAACCGUAUUUCUACGGCGGUCCAGGGAUGUUAAGUCUGGGUAAGGUUUUUCGCGUUGCAUCGAAUUAAACCACAUGCUCCACCGCUUGUGCGGGCCCCCGUCAAUUCCUUUGAGUUUUAAUCUUGCGACCGUACUUCCCAGGCGGAGUACUUAAUGCGUUAGCGUCGGCACUGCGGGGGUCAAUACCCACAACACCUAGUACUCAUCGUUUACGGCGUGGACUAC